UUCAUUGUACUCUGGUUUGAUUUUAUGAUUUACUUCAUCAAUGGUAACAAAAUCAAGGUAACAUAUUGCCACAUGUCAGCACGCUGUAAAUAUUGUUCAACCUCAAGCCUUUCUUGUAUCUUCUACUAUCUGGAGAAGUGCAUUCCACCCAAGGACUGUUGUUUCAAGUUGGAUAUUAAAAGAAAUGGAAGUAAACAAAGUACCUGAAGAAGGCAAUUUUUAUUGUUUCUUCAGGAUAAAGCAAGAACUUCCCCUGCCAACACACUCUCCAGCCCCAUCUCCCUGUUUUCAUUCCUCCUUUCCUUUAUUCUCCCCAUCCCACUCCAUCCCUCUCUGCUUCCCUCUCCAUCUCCCCCCUCCAUCUGUCAUGUGAGACUGGAAUUCAUGAUCAGCCUUUUUACCUCAACCUCCAGAGAAGUUGGGGGAAAGGAAAACACGCAGAAAAAAAUGAUAAUCUCUAUGAAAAAUGCAAUUUCACAUGCAUUUUGUCUAAUAAAAGGUCAUCAUUCA